rnacentral:lncRNA from 1 species
GUAUUUGGUUUAUGGAAUAAUAUGCUUCGUCAGCAAGGCUAUUAAAUAAAUGCAGAUGGCAACUAAGUUUACAGUGCAUGAACUGAACUCGAGAAAUUCCAACAUCUGUCAUGUAACGGUGGGUUUCUAAUAUAUUUUCUUCAAACAUAACAAUAAAGAAAAAACAUAAAGUAAAUUCAUAUCUCUAUUUAUGUACAUGCUUAAAAUUAAAUACAUAAUAAAAUAUGAACAUUUUUAGGGUUUUACUAAAAAUUGUAUUUGUAAUGCUCGUGAAGAAGGAAAUAGAUAAUUAAACACACAUCGUGGAAGGUCAUUCGGACAAUUUUAUUUAAACUCGACACGAGAGAGAUAAAACAGAAAGUACUUACUUGAUUAAUUUGUUCAAAAAGUGAAUCUUAGCAUGCUCU